rnacentral:rRNA from 1 species
UGCAAGUCGAACGAUGAAGCCUUUCGGGGUGGAUUAGUGGCGAACGGGUGAGUAACACGUGGGCAAUCUGCCCUUCACUCUGGGACAAGCCCUGGAAACGGGGUCUAAUACCGGAUGAUACUUCCACUCGCAUGGGUGGGGGUUGAAAGCUCCGGCGGUGAAGGAUGAGCCCGCGGCCUAUCAGCUUGUUGGUGAGGUAGUGGCUCACCAAGGCGACGACGGGUAGCCGGCCUGAGAGGGCGACCGGCCACACUGGGACUGAGACACGGCCCAGACUCCUACGGGAGGCAGCAGUGGGGAAUAUUGCACAAUGGGCGAAAGCCUGAUGCAGCGACGCCGCGUGAGGGAUGACGGCCUUCGGGUUGUAAACCUCUUUCAGCAGGGAAGAAGCGAAAGUGACGGUACCUGCAGAAGAAGCGCCGGCUAACUACGUGCCAGCAGCCGCGGUAAUACGUAGGGCGCAAGCGUUGUCCGGAAUUAUUGGGCGUAAAGAGCUCGUAGGCGGUCUGUCGCGUCGGAUGUGAAAGCCCGGGGCUUAACCCCGGGUCUGCAUUCGAUACGGGCAGACUAGAGUGUGGUAGGGGAGAUCGGAAUUCCUGGUGUAGCGGUGAAAUGCGCAGAUAUCAGGAGGAACACCGGUGGCGAAGGCGGAUCUCU